ACUUUAAUUGAAGAGUUUGAUCAUGGCUCAGAUUGAACGCUGGCGGCAGGCCUAACACAUGCAAGUCGAGCGGCAGCGACAUUAACAAUCCUUCGGGUGCGUUGAUGGGCGGCGAGCGGCGGACGGGUGAGUAAUGCCUGGGAACAUGCCUUAGUGUGGGGG
rnacentral:rRNA from 1 species